GCUGGGUGAGGUGGCGCAUGCCUGUAAUCCCAGUGGCUCUGGAGGUUGAGGUAGGAGGAUCACGAGUUCAAAGCCAGCCUCAGCAAAAACAAGGCACUAAGCAACUCAGUGAGACCCUGUCUCUA
rnacentral:sRNA from 1 species